UACGUAGGGGGCAAGCGUUGUCCGGAUUUAUUGGGCGUAAAGAGCGUGUAGGCGGCCACACAGGUCCGCUGUGAAAACUCGAGGCUCAACCUCGAGCUGUCGGUGGAAACCGUGUGGCUAGAGUCCGGAAGAGGAGAGUGGAAUUCCCGGUGUAGCGGUGAAAUGCGCAGAUAUCGGGAAGAACACCCGUGGCGAAGGCGGCUCUCUGGACCGUAACUGACGCUGAGGCGCGAAAGCGUGGGGAGCAAACAGG
rnacentral:rRNA from 1 species